GAUCUCUGUGAGUUCGAGGCCAGCCUGGUCUACAGAGUGAGAUUCAGGACAGACUUGCCAUCAUCUGUGCUUGCAGAUUUCUGAGGGCUCGAGGAGAGCGAUGCCCGCCUGUACCCCAGCCAGCACCUUAUCAGUAUUGCUGUAAGAAGUGGGACUCAAGAGCCAAGAUCUGUAAACAUUCCACCAAGUACCUCUAACAGGAUGGCCCCCCAGAGCCCUGUGGGGGUAGCCACGAGCUCACAAUGUCCCUGCACCCUGUUCACUAUUGCCUGGUUAAUUUUGAUAUAAACCUGAUAUGCUUAUGGUGCCUGAAUAUUUAUUAAAAUUAAACCUCUCAAAGCA